rnacentral:rRNA from 1 species
AACAGCUGCUAGUACCGCAUAAGCGCACAGCGGCGCAUGACGCAGUGUGAAAAACUGAGGUGGUAUAAGAUGGGCCCGCGUCUGAUUAGCUGGUUGGGAGGGUAACGGCCUACCAAGGCGACGAUCAGUAGCCGGCCUGAGAGGGCGGACGGCCACAUUGGGACUGAGACACGGCCCAGACUCCUACGGGAGGCAGCAGUGGGGAAUAUUGCACAAUGGGGGGAACCCUGAUGCAGCGACGCCGCGUGAGUGAAGAAGUAUUUCGGUACGUAAAGCUCUAUCAGCAGGGAAGAAAAAAGGACGGUACCUGAGUAAGAAGCCCCGGCUAACUACGUGCCAGCAGCCGCGGUAAUACGUAGGGGGCAAGCGUUAUCCGGAAUUACUGGGUGUAAAGGGAGCGUAGACGGCAAUGCAAGUCCGGAGUGGAAUGCGGCAGCUCAACUGCCGAACUGCUCUGGAAACUGUAUGGCUUGAGUGC